GGAAUAUUGCGCAAUGGGCGAAAGCCUGACGGAGUGACGCCGCGUGGGGACGAAGGCCUUCGGGUCGUAAACCCCUGUCAGAGGGAAAGAAGGGCGUUGGCGUGAAUAGCGCCGACGUCUGACGGUACCUUCAGAGGAAGCCCCGGCUAACUCUGUGCCAGCAGCCGCGGUAAUACAGAGGGUGCAAACGUUGCUCGGAAUUACUGGGCGUAAAGCGCGUGUAGGUGGUUUCGCAAGUCAGGUGUGAAAGCCCGAGGCUCAACCUCGGAAGUGCACUUGAUACUACGGAGCUGGAGUCUUGGAGAGGAGAGCGGAAUUCCCGGUGUAGAGGUGAAAUUCGUAGAUAUCGGGAGGAACACCAGUGGCGAAGGCGGCUCUCUGGACAAGUACUGACACUGAGACGCGAAAGCAUGGGGAGCAAAC
rnacentral:rRNA from 1 species